rnacentral:rRNA from 1 species
GAUGAACGCUGGCGGCGUGCUUAACACAUGCAAGUCGAACGAAGCACUUUAUUUGAUUUCCUUCGGGACUGAUUAUUUUGUGACUGAGUGGCGGACGGGUUAGUAACGCGUGGGUAACCUGCCUUGUACAGGGGGAUAACAGUUGGAAACGGCUGCUAAUACCGCAUAAGCGCACAGCAUCGCAUGAUGCAGUGUGAAAAACUCCGGUGGUAUAAGAUGGACCCGCGUUGGAUUAGCUAGUUGGUGAGGUAACGGCCCACCAAGGCGACGAUCCAUAGCCGACCGGAGAGGGUGACCGGCCACAUUGGGACUGAGACACGGCCCAAACUCCUACGGGCGGCAGCAGUGGGGAAUAUUGCACAAUGAGCGAAAGCCUGAUGCAGCGACGCCGCGUGAACGAAGAAGUAUUUCGGUAUGUAAAGCUCUAUCAGCAGGGAAGAUAAUGACGGUACCUGACUAAGAAGCACCGGCUAACUACGUG